rnacentral:rRNA from 1 species
UGGCGGACGGGUGAGUAACGCGUGGAAAACCUGCCGUAUACUGGGGGAUAACACUUAGAAAUAGGUGCUAAUACCGCAUAAGCGCACAGCUUCGCAUGAAGCGGUGUGAAAAACUCUGGUGGUAUACGAUGGUUCCGCGUCUGAUUAGCUAGUUGGUGGGGUAAUGGCCUACCAAGGCAACGAUCGGUAGCCGGCCUGAGAGGGUGAACGGCCACAUUGGGACUGAGACACGGCCCAAACUCCUACGGGAGGCAGCAG